GCCUUUGUAGCUCAGAUGGGAGAGCGCAUCCUUGGUAAGGGUGAGGCCAGCAGUUCGAAUCUGCUCUUAGGCACCA
rnacentral:tRNA from 1 species